AACAGAAAAUGAAGUUUAUAAUUUCCUUGACGGGACUAGUCAUCUAAACAGUAACUUCAGCCUAUUUCAGUUCUUGCACUGAACUACAAAACAAGGGCACUUUGUGACAGUGGCUUUUAUAUUGACCUUAUUGGCAUUUAAGCAUGGGUAGGAUUUGGGCAAGCAGAGAGUGGAGAAAUUCAAGGCACCAAUGAAGAAAUAAAGGAAGAAAUGCUUAUGGAUGUGGUCAGGAAUGUAAGAUUUGAAGAGCAGCAUAGAUUGAUGGAUGAUGUGUCUUGAAAAAAAAGGUUUAGUUUAGAAGUGGUAGGAAAUAGGGAGUCAGGGAAGGCUUAUGGAUGGGAAAGUGACAAGAGGAAAACUACACUCAAAUGAGUUUAGUGUGUUGGUGAUGUCUAAGACAGUGAAGAGGGCAAGUGUGGGAGUGUUAGGGCGACAAUAUUCGAUAGUUCAUCUCUGGAAGACAAGAGGGACUAGUAUAGUGCAGCUCGUGGGGAUGCAGAGGAAAGGAUGACUAUUAGGCCCAUGAGGGGAAGAGCUUACACCGUGCAACAGCUAACUCCACCCAGGAGAGAAGGAAGCCUUUCAACGGGACUCCAAGCUUUGAGUUCAGGCAGAGAAAGAAAUCGUGGUGCCACUCCUGGAGCCAGUGAAAUUGGAAGCUUGAAGUGACUCAGUGUGAGCAGAGCACAAUUUCAGCAUUGGACAUGCUGAAUAUUAGGGGUUGAUGGAAUAUCAGAACGUAAAUAUCAGCUGGCUGCUCAAUAAUAGGAUCUGUCCACAUAGAGGAGAAACAGGAAGCAAAAAAUAUAAGGAGGGCCAAAAAAUCCUGUUUUCCCUCUAGCCUGAGCAAGAUUUCAAGGAAAAUUUUUUGAAUGCUUGUUAUUUCUGAACCUGAAAAUUCUGAGUAACAGAGAACUUACUCAAAGUUUCUCCAUAAAUGUCUAAUUUGUGCUCAGUCUUAGUUUAUGUAGUAUAAUUUGUCUAAUUGUUCUAAAAACACAUUUGACACAGAAAGCCCUGGUCAAAAGAUGAACUCCUCUUCUCCUUUACAAUCUUGGGGGCAACUUUAGGACUUCGGUUUUGGGGUUUCAUAUUAACAAGAGUCUGACUAUAAUUUUUCAAUCAACAUUUUCCUCAUAAAGAACUGCAUGACUAUGGUGACAGAUACGGAAUUCGUACCAACAACAGUUCUCAACCUUGGGUACCUGUUAGAGUCCUGGGGAGUUUUUAAAUAUUGCUGAUCCCAGACCAAUGGACUCAGUCUCUCUGUGGAUGGCAUCUGAGCAUCAUUGUUUUGUAAAAGCAGCCCCAGGUAAUUCUAACGUACAUGCAGGAUUGAAACCACCUGAAAAAUGGAAGCAGCGAUUCUGGACCUUAACCGCAUGUUGGAACCAUAUUGGGAGUUUUAAGAAAUGUAUAGAUGCCUGAGUCCUAUUUCUGGAGAUUCUGAGCAUCAGGAAUCUUAAAAGGUUCCCAGGUGAUUUGAGGUGAUGGCGUGCAGUCAAAAUCAAGAACCACUGAGCCAGUCCCUGGUCGUCUUAAGGCACACUUUCCAACUUCACUAUCUCAAACAACUCUUUAGUCCUGUCUAGGUGGGCAGACCUGUGGGAGAGUCCGCUUGAUAUUUUUGCCAUGGGCGUAAUGAACUCAAUUGUCAGCUAACUUUUAAUCGCAGUCUUUCUUGCUGGUAAUAAUGAUGUAAGAAGUCGAAAAACAUCACCAGGAUUUUCAGAUCCCAGGUUGAGUUUGCAUUGUUGGCAGUUGGAAAGUUCAUGACUUAAGUUGCAAAACUGAACCCAUUUUGAACUAAAGUCAUGGAGACAAUGUAAUGUCAUUUACAGGUGCUUCUCUGGAGAAAAACUCGUCCUGAAACUCUGUGACAAAAUGAAAUUUACACAUCUGCAAGUCAUAGUCAGCAACUCCAGUUUACUCCAGGAAAAUCUUGGAUUUAACAAAGAUUCUCCUCCAGGAUAACAGAAAGAGGGCUACACUUGGUCCUAUCUCAUGCAUUCAUUUCUCUAGCUUACACGGAUACAUUAUUUCCACCUCCCUAAAUCUAGAGAUCUGCAGCGCCAACGGUCUCAGUUCAAACGGCGUUCCUCCAGCCAGUUCUUCAGAGAAACACCACCACGGAGGACGCUUUCCUUUUCGUUGUUUGAGUGGAGAAUCCAAGAAAUUGUGGACGUCUUCAGCUAUUUUUUGCAACUUCUUCUAGCUUUAUGAAGGUAGUCGACCUCAUACUUCUCUUUCUUGAAGGUGAAAGGAAUUUGAUCACUUUCCAAAUUUCUUGAUAUUUUGCCAAAAUUCAUGAUCAUAAGACAAGUUUACUCUGGGUUGCUCUGCGUUUCAGAUAAAUUCUCCUGGAAUAGGUCUGACUGAGAGGACUUAAAACACUCGUUCCCACCGCUCCCGUCUUCAUUUAUGACCUUACAUGUUGUAAUAAAUAGAGAGAAACAUUUGA